GGAGAGAUGUCCGAGUGGUCGAUGGUGCUUGACUCGAAAUCAAGUGUGCCGUAAGGCACCGGGAGUUCGAAUCUCCCUCUCUCCGCCA
rnacentral:tRNA from 1 species